AGACUUUACACACAAUAAACAUUUUUUUCAAAAAAUGUAAAUAUCUUUUCUCUACAAUUUAGGGAGCUACCAUUUGAUUUUUUUAAUAGAGGGGCUUGGAUGGAAUUGUAAAAAAGGCAGGGCAGGAGUUUUGAGUAAAAAAAAGACAGGAUGAGCAACUUAUGUAAAAAAAAAGAAGGCAGGAUAAACUAAUAAAAAGGCAGACCGAAUAGAGUGAAAAAUAAAAAGGCAGGAUAGAGAUUUAAAAAAAAAGGCAGGACAUCAUUUCCAUCCGAGCUCUAGCGUGGCG
rnacentral:lncRNA from 1 species